rnacentral:rRNA from 1 species
CCNUAACACAUGCAAGUCGCACGGUCAGCAAUGGCAGUGGCGGACGGGUGAGUAACACGUAGGAAUCUAUCCCAGGGUGGGGGACAACAGCGGGAAACUGCUGCUAAUACCGCAUGAUACCUGAGGGUCAAAGGCGCAAGUCGCCUUGGGAGGAGCCUGCGUCUGAUUAGCUUGUUGGUGAGGUAAAGGCUCACCAAGGCUACGAUCAGUAGCUGGUCUGAGAGGAUGAUCAGCCACAUUGGGACUGAGACACGGCCCAAACUCCUACGGGAGGCAGCAGUGGGGAAUAUUGGACAAUGGGCGAAAGCCUGAUCCAGCAAUGCCGCGUGUGUGAAGAAGGUCUUCGGAUUGUAAAGCACUUUUGGCAGGGACGAUGAUGACGGUACCUGCAGAAUAAGCCCCGGCUAACUUCGUG